rnacentral:rRNA from 1 species
AGAGUUUGAUCAUGGCUCAGAGUGAACGCUGGCGGCGUGCCUAACACAUGCAAGUCGAACGAGAACGGGUUAAAGUUUACUUUAACUGUCAGCUAAGUGGCGCACGGGUGAGUAAUAUAUAGUUAAUCUGCCCCAAAGAAGAGAAUAAUUGUUGGAAACGACUUGUAACUCUCUAUAUGCCUUUAUCACAAAAGUGAGCAAGGGAAACAUUUAUGGCUUUGGGAUGAGACUGUACGGUAUCAGUUAGUUGGUAAGGUAAUGGCUUACCAAGACUAUGACGCCUAACUGGUUUGAGAGGAUGAUCAGUCACGCUGGAACUGAGACACGGUCCAGACUCCUACGGGAGGCAGCAGUGGGGAAUAUUGCACAAUGGAGGAAACUCUGAUGCAGCAACGCCGCGUGGAGGAUGACACAUUUCGGUGCGUAAACUCCUUUUAUAUGAGAAGAUAAUGACGGUAUCAUAUGAAUAAGCACCGGCUAACUCCGUGCCAGCAGCCGCGGUAAUACGGGGGGUGCAAGCGUUACUCGGAAUCACUGGGCGUAAAGAGCAUGUAGGCGGAUAGAUAAGUUGGAAGUGAAAUCCUAUGGCUUAACCAUAGAACUGCUUCCAAAACUGUCUAUCUAGAAUAUGGGAGAGGUAGAUGGAAUUUCUGGUGUAGGGGUAAAAUCCGUAGAGAUCAGAAAGGAAUACCGAUUGCGAAGGCGAUCUACUGGGAACAUUAUUGACGCUCAGAUGCGAAAGCGUGGGGAGCAAACAGGAUUAGAUACCCUGGUAGUCCACGCCCUAAACGAUGCACACUAGUUGUUGCCUUGCUAGACAAGGCAGUAAUGCAGUUAACACAGUAAGUGUGCCGCCUGGGGAGUACGGUCGCAAGAUUAAAACUCAAAGGAAUAGACGGGGACCCGCACAAGCGGUGGAGCAUGUGGUUUAAUUCGACGAUACGCGAAGAACCUUACCUGGCCUUGACAUAGAGAGAACUUACUAGAGAUAGUUUGGUGCUAGCUUGCUAGAACUUUCAUACAGGUGCUGCACGGCUGUCGUCAGCUCGUGUCGUGAGAUGUUGGGUUAAGUCCCGCAACGAGCGCAACCCUCGUGUUUAGUUACUAACAGUUCGGCUGAGGACUCUAGACAGACUGCCUACGCAAGUAGGAGGAAGGUGAGGACGACGUCAAGUCAUCAUGGCCCUUACGGCCAGGGCUACACACGUGCUACAAUGGGGUAUACAAAGAGCCGCAAUACCGUGAGGUGGAGCAAAUCUCAUAAAAUGCCUCCCAGUUCGGAUUGUAGUCUGCAACUCGACUACAUGAAGUUGGAAUCGCUAGUAAUCGUAGAUCAGCUAUGCUACGGUGAAUACGUUCCCGGGUCUUGUACUCACCGCCCGUCACACCAUGGGAGUUGAUUUCAUUCGAAGCGGGGAUGCUAAAAUAGCUACCUUCCACAGUGGAAUUAGCGACUAGGGUGAAGUCGUAACAAGGUAUCCGUA